rnacentral:ncRNA from 2 species
CAACCAUCCAGAGCGACUGAGAGAUCUGGCUCGAAGACGUCGCAGCAACCCGGAGGGCUUCAUCGCCUCCGCCGGGUGCUAACGCCAGGACCGAUGGAGC